CGGUGAUCCUAUGCUGCCGAGAAAAGCAUCGACGUGAGGUUCUAGCCGCCCGUACCCCAAACCGACACAGGUGAUCAGGUAGAGAAUACUAAGGCGUUCGAGAGAAUCAUGGUUAAGGAACUCGGCAAAAUGCCCCCGUAACUUCGGGAGAAGGG
rnacentral:ncRNA from 1 species